UACAGAGGUCCCAAGCGUUGUUCGGAUUCACUGGGCGUAAAGGGUGCGUAGGCGGUCGGGUAAGUCUGAUGUGAAAUCUCACAGCUUAACUGUGAAACUGCAUUGGAUACUAUUCGGCUUGAGAGUUGGAGGGGGGGACUGGAAUUCUUGGUGUAGCAGUGAAAUGCGUAGAUAUCAAGAGGAACACCAGUGGCGAAGGCGAGUCCCUGGACAACUUCUGACGCUGAGGCACGAAAGCUAGGGGAGCAAACAGG
rnacentral:rRNA from 1 species